rnacentral:rRNA from 1 species
AGAGUUUGAUCCUGGCUCAGAGCGAACGCUGGCGGCGUGCCUAGCACAUGCAAGUCGAGCGGACUACAUGAAGGGGUAACUCUUCAUGUAGUUAGCGGCGAACGGGUGAGUAACACGUGGGUAACCUACCCUCAGGUGGGGGAUAACUCGGGGAAACCUGAGCUAAUACCCCAUAAGACUACGGGCUGAAAGGCUUGUAGUAAAAGAAGCAAUUCGCCUGAGGAUGGGCCCGCGGCCUAUCAGGUAGUUGGUAGGGUAAUGGCCUACCAAGCCUAUGACGGGUAGCCGAGCUGAGAGGCUGGCCGGCCACACUGGGACUGAGACACGGCCCAGACUCCUACGGGAGGCAGCAGUGGGGAAUCUUGGGCAAUGGGCGAAAGCCUGACCCAGCGACGCCGCGUGGGGGAAGAAGGCCUUCGG